UGCGCGAGCUUCUUUUGUGCAUCUGCUCUAGGAUGGGACUGCGGCCGAUCAGGCUGUUGGUGGGGUAAUGGCCCACCAAACCUGUAACCGGUACGGGCCUUGAGAGAGGGGGCCCGGAGAUGGACACUGAGAGAAGGGUCCAGGUCCUACGGGGCGCAGCAGGCGCGAAACCUUCGCAAUGCGCGAAAGCGUGACGAGGUUAAUCCGAGUGGUUCCCGCUGAGGGAAUCUUUUGUUGGCUCUAAAAUGGCCAGUGAAUAAGGGGAGGGCAAGUCUGGUGUCAGCCGCCGCGGUAAUACCAGCUCCUCGAGUGGUCGGGGCGAUUAUUGGGCCUAAAGCAUCCGUAGCCUGUUCUGUAGGUCUUCUGUUAAAUCCAACGGCUUAACCGUUGGCGUGCAGAAGAUACCGCAGGACUAGGAGGCGGGAGAGGUGGACGGUACUCCACGUGUAGGGGUAAAAUCCUUUGAUCCGUGGAAGACCACCAGUGGCGAAGGCGGUCCACCAGAACGCGCUCGACGGUGAGGGAUGAAAGCUGGGGGAGCGAACCGGAUUAGAUACCCGGGUAGUCCCAGCCGUAAACGAUGCGAGCUAGAUGAUCCAAUCGCAAAUCGCGAUUGGAGUGUCGCAGGGAAGCCGUUAAGCUCGCCGCCUGGGGGAGUACGGUCGCAAGACUGAAACUUAAAGGAAUUGGCGGGGGAGCACCACAAGGGGUGAAGCCUGCGGUUCAAUUGGAGUCAACGCCAGGAAACUUACCAGGAGAGACAGCAGGUUGAGGGUCAAGCUGAAGACUUUACCUGACGAGCUGAGAGGAGGUGCAUGGCCGUCGCCAGCUCGUGCCGUGAGGCGUCCUGUUAAGUCAGGCAACGAGCGAGACCCCUGUUGAUAAUUGCUAACUGACCAGAGAUGGUUAGAGGCUAGUUAUCAAGACUGCCGUUGAUAAAACGGAGGAAGGAGGGGGCCACGGCAGGUCAGUAUGCCCCGAAACUCCUGGGCCACACGCGGGCUGCAAUGGUAGGGACAAUUGGUUCCGACUUCGAAAGAAGAAGGCAAUCCGCAAACCCUACCCCAGUUGUGAUUGAGGAUUGAAACCCGUCCUCAUGAAUAUGGAAUCCCUAGUAACCGCGUGUCAUCACCGCGCGGUGAAUACGUCCCUGCUCCUUGCACACACCGCCCGUCGCUUCACCCGAGUUUGGCUAGGACGAGGUCUUCUCUUAUUGGGGAGAUCGAAUCUAUGUUAGGCAAGGGGGGAGAAGUCGUAACAAGGUGGCUGUAGGGGAACCUGCAGCCGGAUCACCUCCUUAGUACAUACUGUACUGAAAUCGGGGGUUGGAAUACGCACUGCAAUGGAGUUAAAGCUAGCCAGUAUCAGACGUAACGACGAAAGAGGAAGAUGCACUAUCCCACGCGAGUGAGAUAGGAAGGGCUAGCAGGGGACGACGGGCCUACGCGGGCAGCCCUGCGAUGUUGCCAUGCAUAGGGUUCGCGCAAGCAUCCGCCGGGGAUGUUAAUCAUCCGACACAACGACGCUGUAUGGUGAAUGGCUUGGCUUGGUAUGGCUAC
rnacentral:rRNA from 1 species